GACGAACGCUGGCGGCGUGCUUAACACAUGCAAGUCGAACGGAAAGGCCCCGUUUGUGUGGUGCUCUAGUGUCGCAAAGGUGAGUAACACAUGAGUAACCUGCCCCCUUGAUUGUGAUAUAUUUUGAAAACUCUGGCUCUAAUACGGUAUGAGCGCCUCCUCUACGUGGGGGGUUGGGGAGUUUCGGCGGUUGGGGAUGGACUCGCGGCUUAUCAGCUUGUUGGUGGGGUAGUGGCUUACCAAGGCUUUGACGGGUAGCCGGCCUGAGAGGGUGACCGGCCACAUUGGGACUGAGAGACGGCCCAGACUCCUACGGGAGGCAGCAGUGGGGAAUAUUGCACAAUGGGUGGAAGCCUGAUGCAGCAACGCCGUGUGCGGGAGGACGGCCUUCGGGUUGUAAACCGCUUUCGCUCAUGACGAAGCUUUGUGUGACGGUAGUGGGUAAAGAAGCACCGGCUAACUACGUG
rnacentral:rRNA from 1 species